rnacentral:rRNA from 1 species
GUAAAGCACUUUCAGUAGGGAGGAAGGUAGUGUAGUUAACACCUGCAUUAUUUGACGUUACCUACAGAAGAAGCACCGGCUAACUCCGUGCCAGCAGCCGCGGUAAUACGGAGGGUGCGAGCGUUAAUCGGAAUUACUGGGCGUAAAGCGCAUGCAGGCGGCCUGUUAAGUCAGAUGUGAAAGCCCGGGGCGUUAACCUCGGAAUUGCAUUUGAAACUGGCAGGCUAGAGUCUUGUAGAGGGGGGUAGGAAUUUCAGGUGUAGCGGUGAAAUGCGUAGAGAUCUGAAGGAAUACCAGUGGCGAAGGCGGCCCCCUGGACAAAGACUGACGCUCAGAUGCGAAAGCGGUGGGGAGCAAACAGGAUUAGAUACCCUGGUAG